CCUACGGGUGGCAGCAGUGGGGAAUAUUGCACAAUGGGGGAAACCCUGAUGCAGCGACGCCGCGUGAGUGAAGAAGUAUCUCGGUACGUAAAGCUCUAUCAGCAGGGAAGAAAAUGACGGUACCUGACUAAGAAGCCUCGGCUAACUACGUGCCAGCAGCCGCGGUAAUACGUAGGGGGCAAGCGUUAUCCGGAUUUACUGGGUGUAAAGGGAGCGUAGACGGCAGCACAAGUCUGGAGUGAAAUCCCGGGGCUUAACCCCGGAACUGCUUUGGAAACUGUGCGGCUGGAGUGCAGGAGGGGUAAGCGGAAUGCCUAGUGUAGCGGUGAUAUGCGUAGAUAUUAGGAGGAACACCGGUGGCGAAGGCGGCUUACUGGACUGUAACUGACGUUGAGGCUCGAAAGCGUGGGGAUCGAACAGGAUUAGAUACCCCUGUAGUC
rnacentral:rRNA from 1 species